GCCUGAAUCGCUCAGGCAGUAGAGCUAUUAAUCUAAAAGUCGUGGGUUCAAGCCCCACGUCAGGUG